UUCAAAGAUCUAGGUAUCUUGCCCUAGUUCAACGCUCUGAUACCACUGAAAGGGGGCCAAAAAACCCCCCACAAUAAGUUGCAAGAUACAAUCGAUCACAAUAACAGAAAUUAAACUUGCAAAAAGUAAAGAACACAACAAGAUUUUUCGACCGAAGCCUAGAGGUUCAGUGACUAGCACCUAGUCCCCUGUUGAGCAUCCAAUCGAAGUGGAUAUUGCUCGGUUGCACUAAAGCCCCAAAAACAGGCAAUCGAAGGUUACAAAGUUCAACCACUACAAGAAUACACAAGAAAGAGACUUAUCUCUUCGAAGGAACCACAAAUCUACCUCAGACUCACAACGAAUCAACAGAAACAUCCCUAACCUCAACACAUGAGGACUCUAAGUAUCACUCAAGAAUAUACCAGUAUUCAGUGGUUAACAGCCUUCCAAAAUACACAUCGAAUGAGAUGAUCGAUUACAGAAAAUAGGGAAAACAGAAAACCCUAACUCGAGAGAACAGAAGAUCACUCAAGAGUCAGAUGGAAUGAAAAGUCUCACAGCCAAAUGAAUCGUCA
rnacentral:lncRNA from 1 species